UCGAACGUUCCAACGUUCCAGUUUUCUCGUCAAUUUCCGGUUUUGUGGGGCCGUUUGGGUUGUCGGCUACAGCCAGUCUUCUUCUUGGGUUACGUCUACUGCUCGACAUCUUUUUCCCCUUUUCUCGUUGGAAGUUGAAUUUAAGUUACCAUGUCGUCUUCGGACACUAUGUUGUCUUCAAGUUCAUCAAAGGGGCGAGCUACAAACAUGUCUUCGUAAAUAUUGAUUAUGUUGGGGCUCCCGGCUAUGACUGACACCAGCCUGAUUUGAGACCUGUGACGAGGCCAUGAAGAGAGGACCGAGGACCACACACACACACACAUCCUGCUGACCAUGUAAGAAGCUACUGCUGCCGGAGUUUGGACAGUGCUGCCGGAGUUUGGACAGCGCUGCCGGAGUUUGGACUCUGCUGCCGGAGUUUGGGCUGUCUAUCCUAUUGGUGAUCCAUGCUGCGCCACAUCGCAGGUUGUCAUCGGUGGAAGCCUACCUACUGUGACCAUCCUACAGUUAUGCCAGGUGGUGUUGUUCCAUUAUUACUCUGGCCUAUUACAGACUCAGUUACUAGCCAAAUUAACAAAUUUCAACUCCAUUUUGAUACGUUCCGUUCUACUCGUCAAACUGUUAAAUAGUGUGUGGGACAUCCUCGGUCCAGCCUCAAUUGUCACAAAUAUCCAAUGUCUUUUUUAACACCUUUCAAUUAAUUCUUUAAUGUGUCAGCAGUUCCUUUGUGAUUUAAACUUAGUGUAAUAAUUUUGAUACUCGGCCUAGCCUAGUUAGAAUUUAUUUCAGUUUUCUUGACCGGCCUAGUGGGCACAAUUGGUUAAUCUUUGUCUCUAAAUUUACUUAUUCGGCCUUUCAUUCUAAAUUUGCCCCUAGUGCCUAAGUUAGGUUCUGAUUUAAAUCUUAAACAUUUUAUUUGAAAUCUUGUCGUUUUGACUUUGUAAAUUUUCAUGUCACGACUUACGCUCGAUCGUUAAUCGUUCAACUGUUUAAGGUGAACUUUUCACCUAUUUUGUAGGCCUAACCUUUUAAUAUCAUUCUGUAAUCUUUAUGUAGGUAAUUGAAUUUAUUAAUUUUUUACCAACAAAUAUUGAGUAGGCUAGUUGUAACUUGUAAUGAUUUGUAAUUGUACUUGUAUAUAUAUAUUUUGACUGAGAUUAAAUGGUAUUUUGCAA